rnacentral:snRNA from 1 species
GUUCCUGUGGGGACAUCCGAUAAAAUUGGAAUGAUACAGAGAAGAUUAGCAUGGCCCCUGCGCAAGGAUGACACGCACAAAUCGAUAAAAAGGUCCAAAAAUUUU